AUUGAAGGUACAUCCCAGUCACUCAUCUUUACAUCAACAUAAUCCUCAAUAGUUGCUUCCUCAUCCUCAAUUUCAUCUUUUAUGGUUAACUACAAGAGAAUUUGAACCAACAAGCAGAUAACAUUUGAUCCUGGAGCAGUGGGAGGGAAGGAGAAAACAUGAAGAACAUACCAGCAACUGUGGCUCCCGGUUUUCAUCUACUGGAGGAAGACCUGUUAUUAUUUCCAGUAAGACCUAGAAGGAAAAAAAAAUCAGAAGAGAAAAUAAAGCACAGAAUAACCCUUAGCAUACGUAUGAUUUGCAAAAAGGAGCAUGACCUCCAGCCUGUCAACACACACUCUCGGGAUCUGUGUUUGUCCAAAGAUUUCCUAUACACUUCAUUGGUUUUGUUCCUACCUUUAUUUUCAUUAACUGUUAUUAGUGGUGUUGCUUACAAAUUUCAAUAACACAAGUUAUUGUCACCCUACAUAGUGUUCCUGCACAGCAAGAUUGAAGGAUUUCCAAACUAUUCAGACAUAGUGUUGGGCCUGCCUUCCCAUGAAACUAAAUGCUGUGAAGGAAGUGGUCAAUAGAGAUUCAGAAUAAAUUAAAUUUUCUUUCUAA